UACAGAGGUCCCAAGCGUUGUUCGGAUUCAUUGGGCGUAAAGGGUGCGUAGGUGGCGCUGUAAGUCGGGUGUGAAAUCUCGGAGCUUAACUCCGAAACUGCAUUCGAUACUGCCGUGCUUGAGGACUGGAGAGGAGACUGGAAUUUACGGUGUAGCGGUGAAAUGCGUAGAUAUCAGGAGGAAUACCGAUGGCGAAGGCAGGUCUCUGGGCUGACACUGACGCUCAUGCACGAAAGCGUGGGGAGCAAACAGG
rnacentral:rRNA from 1 species